rnacentral:rRNA from 1 species
AUUGAACGCUGGCGGCAUGCUUUACACAUGCAAGUCGAACGGCAGCACGGGAGCUUGCUCCUGGUGGCGAGUGGCGAACGGGUGAGUAAUGCAUCGGAACGUACCCAGUAGUGGGGGAUAGCCCGGCGAAAGCCGGAUUAAUACCGCAUAUUUCCUGAGGGAGAAAGCGGGGGACCUUCGGGCCUCGCGCUACUGGAGCGGCUGAUGUCGGAUUAGCUAGUUGGUGAGGUAAAGGCUCACCAAGGCGACGAUCCGUAGCUGGUCUGAGAGGAUGAUCAGCCACACUGGGACUGAGACACGGCCCAGACUCCUACGGGAGGCAGCAGUGGGGAAUUUUGGACAAUGGGGGCAACCCUGAUCCAGCCAUGCCGCGUGAGUGAAGAAGGCCUU